UCUCAGAAAAUAUACCUGAGGUCUGGGACC
rnacentral:piRNA from 1 species